rnacentral:rRNA from 1 species
UAAGCAUAUCAAUAAGCGGAGGAAAAGAAACCAACAGGGAUUGCCCCAGUAACGGCGAGUGAAGCGGCAACAGCUCAAAUUUGAAAUCUGGCCUUCGGGUCCGAGUUGUAAUUUGGAGAGGAUGCUUUUGGCGCGGCGCCGUCCGAGUUCCUUGGAACAGGACGCCAUAGAGGGUGAGAGCCCCGUACGGGCGGCCGCCUAGCCUUUGUAAAGCUCCUUCGACGAGUCGAGUAGUUUGGGAAUGCUGCUCAAAAUGGGAGGUAAAUUUCUUCUAAAGCUAAAUACCGGCCAGAGACCGAUAGCGCACAAGUAGAGUGAUCGAAAGAUGAAAAGCACUUUGAAAAGAGGGUUAAAAAGUACGUGAAAUUGUUGAAAGGGAAGCGCCUGUGACCAGACUUGCGACCCGUGGAUCAUCCGGUGUUCUUCACCGGUGCACUCCGCGGGCUGCAGGCCAGCAUCGGUUUUCCUAGGGGGUUAAAGGUCGCAGGAACGUAGCUCUUUCGGGAGUGUUAUAGCCUGUGGCGUCAUGCCUCUGGGGAGACCGAGGACCGCGCUUCGGCAAGGAUGCUGGCGUAAUGGUCACCGGCGACCCGUCUUGAAACACGGACCAAGGAGUCAAGCAUUGGGGCGAGUGUCUGGGUGCCAAACCCGCACGCGAAAUGAAAGUAAACGCAGGUGAGAGCUUCGGCGCAUCACCGACCGAUCCUGAUGUCUUCGGAUGGAUUUGAGUAAGAGCCUUACCGCUUGGACCCGAAAGAUGGUGAACUAUGCCUGUAUAGGGUGAAGCCAGAGGAAACUCUGGUGGAGGCUCGCAGCGGUUCUGACGUGCAAAUCGAUCGUCAAAUAUGGGCAUGGGGGCGAAAGACUAAUCGAACCAUCUAGUAGCUGGUUACCGCCG